AAUCAACGCUGGCGGCGUGCCUCAGACAUGCAAGUCGAACGAUUAAAGCUCCCUUCGGGAGUGCAUAGAGUGGCGCACGGGUGAGUAACACGUAAGUAAUCUACCUUUGAGUGGGGAAUAACGUUCGGAAACGGACGCUAAUACCGCAUAAUGCAGCGGCAUCGCAAGAUGACAGUUGUUAAAGGAGCAAUCCGCUUAAAGAGGAGCUUGCGGCAGAUUAGCUUGUUGGUAAGAUAACGGCUUACCAAGGCUACGAUCUGUAUCCGGUCUAAGAGGACGGUCGGACACACUGACACUGAAUAACGGGUCAGACUCCUACGGGAGGCAGCGGUCGGGAAGUUUUGGGCAAUGGGCGAAAGCCUGACCCAGCAACGCCGCGUGAAGGAUGAAGUAUUUCGGUAUGUAAACUUCGAAAGAAUAGGAAGAAUAAAUGACGGUACUAUUUAUAAGCUCCGGCUAACUACGUGCCA
rnacentral:rRNA from 1 species